rnacentral:rRNA from 1 species
UACAGAGGGUGCAAGCGUUGUUCGGAAUUAUUGGGCGUAAAGGGCGCGUAGGCGGCUUGGCAAGUCAAAGGUGAAAUCCCUCGGCUCAACUGAGGAACUGCCUUUGAAACUGCCCGGCUUGAGGCCGGGAGGGGGUAGCGGAAUUCCCAGUGUAGCGGUGAAAUGCGUAGAUAUUGGGAGGAACACCAGUGGCGAAGGCGGCUACCUGGACCGGUUCUGACGCUGAUGCGCGAAAGCGUGGGUAGCAAACAGG